rnacentral:rRNA from 1 species
UGCCAGCCGCCGCGGUAAUACGGAGGGUGCAAGCGUUAUCCGGAUUCAUUGGGUUUAAAGGGUGCGCAGGCGGAACUUUAAGUCAGUGGUGAAAUCUUGCCGCUUAACGGUAAAAUUGCCAUUGAUACUGAAGUUCUUGAAUAUGGUUGAGGUAGGCGGAAUGUGUUGUGUAGCGGUGAAAUGCAUAGAUAUGACACAGAACGCCGAUUGCGAAGGCAGCUUACUAAGCUACGAUUGACGCUGAGGCGCGAAGGCGUGGGUAGCGAACGGGAUUAGAUA